rnacentral:rRNA from 1 species
GUCUACGGCCAUACCACCCUGAACGCGCCCGAUCUCGUCUGAUCUCAGAAGCUAAGCAGGGUCGGGCCUGGUUAGUACUUGGAUGGGAGACCAGCUGAGCAGAGAGCCCAACGUGGGUC